rnacentral:tRNA from 4 species
GCCCCCAUAGCUCAGUGGUAGAGCAGCCGCCUUUUAAGCGGUUGAUCUAGGUUCGAUUCCUGGUGGGGGUA